rnacentral:rRNA from 1 species
CACUAUCACUCCUACGGGAGGCAGCAGUGGGGAAUCUUGGACAAUGGGCGCAAGCCUGAUCCAGCCAUGCCGCGUGAGUGAUGAAGGCCUUAGGGUCGUAAAGCUCUUUCGCCAGAGAUGAUAAUGACAGUAUCUGGUAAAGAAACCCCGGCUAACUCCGUGCCAGCAGCCGCGGUAAUACGGAGGGGGUUAGCGUUGUUCGGAAUUACUGGGCGUAAAGCGUACGUAGGCGGAUUAGUCAGUUAGAGGUGAAAUCCCGGGGCUCAACCCCGGAACUGCCUUUAAUACUGCUAGUCUUGAGUUCGAGAGAGGUGAGUGGAAUUCCGAGUGUAGAGGUGAAAUUCGUAGAUAUUCGGAGGAACACCAGUGGCGAAGGCGGCUCACUGGCUCGAUACUGACGCUGAGGUACGAAAGUGUGGGGAGCAAACAGGAUUAGAUACCCUGGUAG